GACGAACGCUGGCGGCGUGCCUAAUACAUGCAAGUAGAACGCACAGUUUAUACCGUAGCUUGCUACACCAUAGACUGUGAGUUGCGAACGGGUGAGUAACGCGUAGGUAACCUGCCUGGUAGCGGGGGAUAACUAUUGGAAACGAUAGCUAAUACCGCAUAAUAUUAAUUAUUGCAUGAUAAUUAAUUGAAAGGUGCAAUUGCACCACUACCAGAUGGACCUGCGUUGUAUUAGCUAGUAGGUGAGGUAACGGCUCACCUAGGCGACGAUACAUAGCCGACCGGAGAGGGUGAUCGGCCACACUGGGACUGAGACACGGCCCAGACGCCUACGGGAGGCAGCAGUAGGGAUUCUUCGGCAAUGGACGAAAGUCUGACCGAGCAACGCCGCGUGAGUGAAGAAGGGUUUCGGAUCGUAAAGCUCUGUUGUAAGAGAAGAACGGGUGUGAGAGUGGAAAGUUCACACUGUGACGGUAUCUGAACAGAAAGGGACGGCUAACUACGUG
rnacentral:rRNA from 1 species